rnacentral:rRNA from 1 species
GACGAACGCUGGCGGCGUGCCUAAUACAUGCAAGUUGAGCGCUGAAGGUUGGUACUUGUACCAACUGGAUGAGCAGCGAACGGGUGAGUAACGCGUGGGGAAUCUGCCUUUGAGCGGGGGACAACAUUUGGAAACGAAUGCUAAUACCGCAUAAAAACUUUAAACACAAGUUUUAAGUUUGAAAGAUGCAAUUGCAUCACUCAAAGACGAUCCCGCGUUGUAUUAGCUAGUUGGUGAGGUAAAGGCUCACCAAGGCGAUGGUACAUAGCCGACCUGAGAGGGUGAUCGGCCACAUUGGGACUGAGACACGGCCCAAACUCCUACGGGAGGCAGCAGUAGGGAAUCUUCGGCAAUGGACGAAAGUCUGACCGAGCAACGCCGCGUGAGUGAAGAAGGUUUUCGGAUCGUAAAACUCUGUUGGUAGAGAAGAACGUUGGUGAGAGUGGAAAGCUCAUCAAGUGACGGUAACUACCCAGAAAGGGACGGCUAACUACGUG